CCUACGGGAGGCAGCAGUGGGGAAUCUUGCGCAAUGGGCGAAAGCCUGACGCAGCGACGCCGCGUGCGGGAGGAAGCUCUUCGGGGUGUAAACCGCUGUCAGGAGGGAAGAAUGGUCGAGGGAGGAAAUGCCCUUGAUUUGACGGUACCUCCAGAGGAAGCACCGGCUAACUCUGUGCCAGCAGCCGCGGUAAUACAGAGGGUGCGAGCGUUGUUCGGAAUUACUGGGCGUAAAGCGCGCGCAGGCGGCUCUUUAAGUCUGUCGGUCAAACGCCGGGGCUCAACCCCGUGCUCGCCGGAGAUACUGGAGGGCUGGAGACAUGUAGAGGCAAGCGGAAUUCCGGGUGUAGCGGUGGAAUGCGUAGAGAUCCGGAAGAACACCGGAGGCGAAGGCGGCUUGCUGGGCAUGGUCUGACGCUGAGGCGCGAAAGCGUGGGGAGC
rnacentral:rRNA from 1 species